CUAAGGAAGCGAAGGAUAUGGAGAGUAGAAAUACUAAGAGAAGUAUCCAGAGCAAGCGGAAGCACACUGAGAAACUUUGUUUAGUUUUGA
rnacentral:rRNA from 1 species